AUGCAAGUCGAGCGCGAAUAGGGAAACCUUAGUAGAGCGGCGCACGGGUGCGUAACACGUGGAUAAUCUGCCUGGAUGCCUGGGAUAACCAGUCGAAAGAUUGGCUAAUACCGGAUAAGCCCACGGUUUCUUCGGAGACUGAGGGAAAAGGUGGCCUCUGUAUACAAGCUAUCACAACCAGAUGAGUCCGCGGCCCAUCAGCUAGUUGGCGGGGUAAUGGCCCACCAAGGCGACGACGGGUAGCUGGUCUGAGAGGACGAUCAGCCACACUGGAACUGAGACACGGUCCAGACUCCUACGGGAGGCAGCAGUGGGGAAUUUUGCGCAAUGGGCGAAAGCCUGACGCAGCAACGCCGCGUGUGUGAUGAAGGUCUUCGGAUUGUAAAGCACUUUCGACCGGGACGAAAACCCGUAGCCCAACACGCUACGGCUUGACGGUACCGGGGGAAGAAGCACCGGCUAACUCUGUGCCAGCAGCCGCGGUAAUACAGAGGGUGCAAGCGUUGUUCGGAAUUAUUGGGCGUAAAGCGCGUGUAGGCGGCGUGACAAGUCGGGUGUGAAAGCCCUCAGCUCAACUGAGGAAGUGCGCCCGAAACUGUCGUGCUUGAGUG
rnacentral:rRNA from 1 species